rnacentral:rRNA from 1 species
GUCCUGUUGAGUAUAAUUUCAGGUCAGGCCUGCCCGAUGAUUGUUUGAAUGGCCGCGGUAUUUUGACCGUGCAAAGGUAGCAUAAUCACUAGUUUUUUAAUUGGAAGCUUGAAUGAAAGGUUUAAUGAGAAAAUUACUGUCUCUAGAGAAAUUUAUUAGAAUUUUAUUUUUAAGUUAAAAAGCUUAAAUUUGUAUGGAAGACGAGAAGACCCUAUAGAGUUUUAUAUUUAUGUUGAUUAGUAACUAGAGGGUUUUAAAUUUGCUUAUUAGUUAGAUAUUUUAUUGGGGUGAUAGAAAAAUUAAUUAAACUUUUUUUUAAAAGCUACAUUUAUUUAUGAAUAUUUGAUCCUUAAGGCUUAGAUCAGAAGAUUAAAUUACCUUAGGGAUAACAGCGUAAUUUUUUUUAGAGUUCUUAUCGAAAAAAAAGAUUGCGACCUCGAUGUUGGAUUAAAAUUUGUUUCUGGUGCAGAAGCUAGGGGACUUGGUCUGUUCGACCUUUUAAAUUUUACAUGAUCUGAGUUUAAACCGGCGUGAG